UGCCAGAAAUUCUUGAUUAGUUUAUUAGGUCUUUCUUACGAGGAUAGUCGGGCUUAAAGAUGCAAAAACAUUGAGGUUCUAGCUUUCAGAGACCUUCUUUUUCUUCAUACUAUACUCGUCUUUCAUGGUUUUUCAAGUAACGAAGUCCCAUUUGUUUGAAUUGAAGGUGGUCUCUCGUCUACACCUGGAUGCUUUUUGACGAGAAACUCGGCUGAGUGCUCCAAGCUAUCCUAGGGGACAUCAGAAAGUCCCCAACCAUCCAACUAGAAAGCAAUGAGUGGCUGUACACGUACAUGCCACUUCAAUGUCAGUUGACUGUAUGUCGGAGGCCUAAUUUUGCACUAGGGGGAAAGAACUUGAGGAAUGUGCUGCUUUGAAAAAAAUGGUCGAGGACAAGUGCAUCCGAGAUCCGGCGAGGCAUUCAUGCUCCAAGAGUGCCGAUAUUGUUCUAAUCCACCUUGACGAAACGCACUAAGGCCAAUCUUUCCCUUUGACCAUGCGGAAAGAGGUACUUCAUCUAACAAUGUCGCAGACUAUUUUGGAAAGCUUUUAGCUGGUCAGAUACUCGAUCCUCUUGACAGGAUAGCAUUUCACUCUCCCCCCAACACAUACAAAACGCACACACACCCGGACCUGUCCUGAGCAUGCCGUAGUAACCUUCAAGGCUGGGGGCUUGUAGCGCAGGAAAGGUUUCUUUACCAAUAUGCAUCCAAAGUGUCAAUGAAGAAAGGACGGUGUGAUCCAUUAUGAAGUAGCGUGCAUCUGUAUUUCCCACUUUUAAUGCAGGUUGGAAUUAAAUCAACACAUGCUUGAAGAAGGUUCUUCGGGAAUCUCCUUUUUUGCAGAAACUUGAAGGUGCUUCUUGGUUGAGCACUUGACGGAUAGAAUGCCAACUGAGAGCAAUGUCAGAGCCUGGAAAGGCCUCACAUCAUCACCGAGGAAGUUCAUCCAAAAUUUAUGAAUGCUACUUUGUGGACAGCCAGGGGAUUGAUGGAGAUAGAAAGAGAGAAGCAUCAGACUCGGUGAAGAUUGAAAAAAACGCUCCAAAACCUCCACUUCAAACCAGAGUUUAAGAAUGGAGAGCUCAGUACAACCACGUUCGUUACACUUAGUAUUCCAUAGACGACCGAGUGUUCCAAAGCAAGGCCUAAAAGACGGGAGGUGUUAAUACAUCACAAAACGGAAGGAAACUCGAUUUCCUCACUCCCUUCUAUCCACUCACUGGCUCGUUCAGUGGUGGUGCGAUAUGCAAACCCAACAAGUAAAAUGUUUCUGUGGUCUCCAUCGUCUCUGCUUGCAACCAGAAUGAAUGCUUUGGCUUUUCUCCAAGACAACCCAGUGCUUGAGGGAACCUCGUGCCGGAAAAGCAAAGCCAGAAGGCGAGAUGUUGUAGUCCCUGGGAUGGCUUUUGCAUAUAAACAAACAGAUGUGCCAUCUUGUUUUGAUAUGCCCCAAAUGCAUCCGGAUUCGAAUGGGUUGGAUAACAGUCGGGUAAAGGGCUCUGCAAAUAUCAUCGAGUCAAUAAUUCAGACCCGCUGACAACAGCCAAUAAAUAGCCAGCUUUAGAUUCAACAUGGCCGUGCAUGAGUUUGGAGCUCUAGAGAGAGAAGCAUCGCUCACUCCAGAUCAGUAAGGUAUUGCGCUUGUACUCCCAGAAUUCGCAAAUGUAUUUCCAGCAUCAUGUUAAUAAAUUUGCCAAUAUUCA